CCAAAAUACCCUUUUAAAUCAAAAGAAAAAAGGGAACCAAAAUUUGGACAGCGUUUCACCAGGAAGCCUAAAGUGAGGAGCCCCGCCCCCCUUGCUCUACAGACAGUUUGGGGAAGAAGUUGAUGGUGGUCGUUCUUUUUUUUCACUGACGCUGUUCAUCUUUACAGGUUAGUGAUGUGAUGCUGGUGAAAACUGUCCCCCUCUAGAAUGUAAAGUGGCAAAUUAAUUCAGAUCUGAUUUCACAAUCACAUGCAUAUACAUGCUUAAACAUAAAAAAGUGAUUUCGGCUGGGAUUGCAGUUAGCUAAAUUUGAGCUAUAACGGACAUAUAACAGUCAUUUUAAAGAUGGCUACAUGUAUCAAUAAGCUCCAUUCCACUCCCCCAUCCAACAAUGGUAUCCUGACAUGCGUUGUAUUGUGUUCUCUGUUCAAAGAAAAUAUUUAUUAUAGACGUUACAAUUCCCCCCUACUGUGUAAUCAAUUCCACUGUACAGUCAGCGAUAGAAUUAUUCAAAGCCCAUUACAACCUUAAGUAUGUUUGCUCAUCUUAAUACAUCCAUGUUAAAUUAUUUAACCAAGAACAUAAUUAUUUCAUAAUUAUUACAACUCAAAGAAAUUAGUGCCCUUAAAAUUUAGCUGCAUUUGAGAAAUGGGUGUGUUUUUUUAUAUAAAUCUGUGAGCUUUAAAUUUAUUGGUGAAUUGAUUUGAUUUGGCCUUUUGAUGCUGUCACAGUUGGUGGGAGCUGAUGCUAUUCACUGAGGUGAAUGCUAUGUGGUUGUUUGAGAACAACAGAAGGACACAAGAACAUGAUUGCACAAAGAAAUGUUCAUGAUUUCAAGAAUUUGUAAUAGAGUUUGGGGAAGAAGACGGCGGCCGUUCUUUUUUUUCCACUGACGUUGUUUAUCUUUACACAGAACAAAGGAGAAGCGGAGAGACAUCAGAAGGAAAAAAAAUCAUUUGUUACAAUUGUCCACUUCCAGCUGAGAUGUGUAACAUGUACUUUCAGAAGAAUAUUCAAAUUUUAACAUGCAUUUUCUAAGUACUAUUUCAGUUUACUCUUACUCAGUAACUUGUGUUUACACUUCUGGAUUUUUUUUUUUGCAGGAUCCCUUGUGAUACAGGAAUUGUUUCACUUAAACAUUUAAUUUAUUGAGAUAUUGUUAAUUCAUUUUCAAUCAAGACUUUUAAAAAUAGGUUUAGGGCUUAUUGGUUUUUGAUUAUGUUGUGUAGAUAAGCAUACACUUAAUGGUAUUUUUUUCAGGUUUGCAUCAUGAAACCUCUUGAUUCGUCUCUAAGUCAUGAUUGAGCUUCUCUGUGGAGUUCACCAAGGACAGAGAGGAUCCCCUCAACUCCACUCCAUCAACCCCUGAGAUCUUCUUGUUCUUUAAUUACCUUUCCCUUGGAUCCUAGAUCAAAUUGAAAUAAACCAUGAAGAACUUUC